AUAGAGUCCUUAUGCAGCUCCCCUUGGCUCCAAGCUCUCUGGGAAGACCCCAGAUCUGCUUCUUUCUUGAGUUGAUUGAUGACAUGUGUCUUUGUCACAAGGACUCAUGCUACUUGAAUCUGUCUCCUUCCUUGGCUUUUCCUGUCCGCAGUAUGACAUUCUACUCUCAUGAAGACAUUUCCCUUGUCAUUAGCCACUGUUGCUCUGAGGCAAGUUUGACUUAUUUCUCAUUGUUCUUUUGGCAUCUUUAGACCUUUUGGAACUUACACAUUUGCUAUCUGUCCUAUACACCUCUAUGAUGAGAUAUUUAUUUGCCUAAAAAAGAAGAAAGAAAUUGAUACAAAUGAAGAAGUGGUCAUACACUCACAGCCAUGUGGAGGCUAGUUCAAGCUCCACACUCCUACCUCCCAGACUUCGGAUUCCUACCCUGGAGUCAGGCAGGGAACAUCAAUCUACACAUGCUCUGAAAAAUGACUUCUACUUUCCAGAUGCUCUUACUUAUAGAUGAGACAACUGAUUGUCAGAGAGGCCAGAAGUUGUACCUUGUCCUUUUGACCCUGCCUGGGAUGCCCCUCCUUGAUGGUAAAAAUGGAGAGGCUACAGCAAGCUCUGGCCAUGUCAACCACCAAGAAAACACAAACUCCAGGAAGUCACACUUCCUCAGUAGUGAUGCUUCGUGUGCUCAUCAUUUCCAAAACCUACAAACAGAAUAGCUCAGCUGAGGAGGCUUCCAGCUGCUUCUUCCCUGUGACUCGAUUUCUGUGUUCCUGCUCUCCCUCCCUUAUUUUUGCUCCUAUGCAGUGUUGCAUAACCUUUUAGCCACAAGUGUCACUGAACAACUAAGGAAAUGUUCGUUCUUUGUGGCAGGCUGGCCAACGAGGCUUGGUUCAGAGGGCACAGCUAUUUGGAUGAAUUUGGGCUUGUCAUAAGAUACUUUGGAGACACUUCCUCUUUUCCCACUGUUAUUUAAGAGGGACCCUAUAAAAAUGGUAAAAUAACUAUAAGAAUAGCCUGUGGGUAGAGUUGAGGAGGAAGAAAAGCCCUAGGAAAUGAAAGAAAGAGAGUGAAUCUCUAGAUACUAUAGAGGGACAGCCCACUGCUUUCCUCUUGAGCCAUGAGAAAGUGUCAGCUCUGUACCAGGAUUUCAUUUUCAAUUCCCAAGAAAGAGCUUCAGUUUCUUUUAGUGGGAACAAGCCUGGGGUGGACACAUCACGCAG
rnacentral:lncRNA from 1 species